rnacentral:rRNA from 1 species
AACGUUACCAAACUGUUGCCUCGGCGGGAAUUCUGCCCCGGGCGCGUCGCAGCCCCGGACCAAGGCGCCCGCCGGAGGACCAACCAAAAACUCUUUUUGUAUAUCCCUCUGCGGAUUUCUUUUUUAUUAUCUGAAAUUUCUCGGCGCUCCUAGCGGGCGUUUCGAAAAUGAAUCAAAACUUUCAACAACGGAUCUCUUGGUUCUGGCAUCGAUGAAGAACGCAGCGAAAUGCGAUAAGUAAUGUGAAUUGCAGAAUUCAGUGAAUCAUCGAAUCUUUGAACGCACAUUGCGCCCGCCAGUAUUCUGGCGGGCAUGCCUGUCCGAGCGUCAUUUCAACCCUCGAACCCCUCCGGGGGGUCGGCGUUGGGGAUCGGCCGUCUGACGGCCGGCCCCGAAAUACAGUGGCGGUCUCGCCGCAGCCUCUCCUGCGCAGUAGUUUGCACACUCGCACCGGGAGCGCGGCGCGUCCACGUCCGUAAAACACCCCAAAUUUUUUGAAAGGUUGACCUCGGAUCAGGUAGGAAUACCCGCUGAACUU